rnacentral:rRNA from 1 species
GUGGGGAAUCUUGCGCAAUGGGCGAAAGCCUGACGCAGCCAUGCCGCGUGAAUGAUGAAGGUCUUAGGAUUGUAAAAUUCUUUCACCGGGGACGAUAAUGACGGUACCCGGAGAAGAAGCUCCGGCUAACUUCGUGCCAGCAGCCGCGGUAAUACGAAGGGGGCUAGCGUUGCUCGGAAUUACUGGGCGUAAAGGGCGCGUAGGCGGACAGCUUAGUCAGAGGUGAAAGCCCAGGGCUCAACCUUGGAAUUGCCUUUGAUACUGGCUGUCUUGAGUACGGGAGAGGUGGGUGGAACUCCGAGUGUAGAGGGGAAAUUCGUAGAUAUUCGGAAGAACACCAGUGGCGAAGGCGACUCACUGGCCCGUUACUGACGCUGAGGCGCGAAAGCGUGGGGAGCAAACAGGAUUAGAAACCCGUGUAGUCC